rnacentral:tRNA from 1 species
GCCUGGGUGGCUUAGUUGGUUAAGUGUCUGACUCUUGAUUUCAUCUCAGAUCAUGACCUCAGAGUUGUGAGAUCAAGCCCCACCUGGGGCU